rnacentral:lncRNA from 1 species
AAUUAAACAAUAUACAGAUUUAGAGCCACAAUUUGUUGAAGUGGCAACCAUUACUUCUUGUUUUUCACUGUCUACUUUUUCCAUCUUCUUCCUCUCUCUCUCUCUCACUAGAAAUUCUUCUUCUUUCUCUCUCUCACUAGAAAAACAAUUUCUUUCUCCUCACUUCACUAGCUCACUUUCUUUAAUCUUCAAACCAUUUUAUACUAAUUUUCUUACAUCAACUUCUCCACCUCUUCUUCUGGGCUCUCGAUCCUAGUUUUCAGUGUCUCUCUCUCUCUCUCUAACUUCUUUUCUCUCUCUCACACACACACACACACACGAGCAAAUCUGAACAGUACACAUUUAAUUCCCGAACAUGAGUGACAGAGUCUACCCAUCAACCAAGCCAAACUCCGCCGCCGCCGCCAAGCCCACGGCGGCGGGGCCCCUGCCCGCCCCACCGGCGAAAUACAACCCGAACCGGCACCCCUACCGCCCGAAUCCGACCUCGCGCCACCGCCAGAAGAAAACCCCCAAAUUCAGCUGCCGCCGCUGCUGCUGCCUCACCUGCUUCUGGUCGGUCCUCCUCCUAACCCUAACCCUCCUCAUCGCCGCCAUCGCCGCCGCCGCCUUCUACGCGCUCUACCACCCCCACCGCCCCGCCUUCUCCGUCACCUCCGUCAAAAUCUCCGCCUUCAACCUCACCACCACCCCCGCCGACGACUCCACCCGCCUCACCGCCAGAAUCAACGUCACCCUCUCCGCGAAGAACCCUAACAAGAAAAUCCAAUUCGCCUACGACGCCAUGUCCAUCGCAUUGCUCUCCCGCUCGGUCAUUCUGUCGAACACCUCGUACGCCGCCUUCAACAGCUCCGCCGGCGCUAUCUCCGUCAUCCACGCCGCCACCCCGCCGCGCACGCAGCUCCUCGACGCCGAUUCGCUCAACCUGCUGAAAUCCGACCUGCGGCGGCCCCGCGGCCUGCCGAUUCGGAUCGUGGUGGACACCGCCGUCGCCGUGAAAAUCGAUAAGCUGAAGGCGAGGAAAUUCGGGAUCAGAGUGAAAUGCGAUGGGAUUCACGGCGCCGUGCCCAGGGGCGAAACCGUCAUUCCGGCCAACACCGCCGCCGCCGACUGCCAGGUUGAUCUCAGAAUCAAGAUCUUGAAAUGGACCUUUUGAGAUUUUAUUUAUUUUAUUUAUUUUUGAUAUAAAAUCAUUUUGGCAUUUUAUUUAUUUUUAAAUGUUUUAUUAUCAAUGCGAUCGACGCUGCUAUACGUUUUUUUCCUUUUAAUUUAUAUUUUUCUGGUUCUUUUGGAUAUACAAAUGCAAAGUUUGGGGGUUACUUUUGUUAUUAGUGGAAACUAAAGGGAUCGGUAUGUAAUUAAAUUUUAUUUUAUGUUUUAUUAUUCUUUUUAUGGUGCAUACGCGUAAUUAAAUUCCAAUAAUUGGUAUUGUUACAUUUAAUAAUAGCAUGAAUUGCAUUCAUAAUUUGAUUAUUGAUGGUUAGAUUUAGUUGAAUAAUUAGUAGCGUGUAGAUACAAAGACAAUUGUGUUUGUUUUCACUAAAUUAUCAAUUGUGAGAGCUGUAUUAACAGUUCCCACCACUAAGUGUAACAGUGAAAUUGGGUUCGAAUCUUACAAAUACUUUAUAAACUUAAUUUUAUUUUAAAAUAUAUAUAAAAAAUUAUUUAGUAAAAUGAAGCCGGUUUUGUUGACUCAUUUUCACUUUCGUCGUAUUUUUUAAGUGUAAUAUGUUAUUCAAAAUUUUAUUUCGUAAGGUUUAUAAAUGUGUGACUUGGUAGAUUUUGUAAAUUGUGUGGAUAUACCUAAUAGACAAAUAAAUAUAUUUAAAAUAAAUUAAUUUAUCAAAUAAAUGAUAGAUUAGACUGAAUAAUUUUUGUCUAAUCAUUUUAUCACACAAUAUAGUCAAUGCGCUUUCUAUGUAAUUUUACAAUAAAGUAUUUAAAUUUUAUCAAUUAUACUUUUUAAAUCGAUCUAUUGUUAUCUACACCUUUGGAAAUUUGUGGCUUUUGUCAUAUUUUUUGGCUGCGCAACGGUAAGCUUCACUUCUUUGUCU